rnacentral:rRNA from 1 species
CAGGGAAUCUUCCACAAUGGACGCAAGUCUGAUGGAGCAACGCCGCGUGAGUGAAGAAGAUCUUCGGAUCGUAAAACUCUGUUGUUAGAGAAGAACACGAGUGAGAGUAACUGUUCAUUCGAUGACGGUAUCUAACCAGCAAGUCACGGCUAACUACGUGCCUG